CCCAUUGCAUCGCUGUGUCCCUAUCCGCAGAGGCAUGGGGAAUAGUUUAGGCCCCCGCAGCAGCGGGGUUCUGCGGUUCCCCAAAGUGAGUUGUUGGGCUAGAUCCGGCUGGUUGCAGAGUCUUGGGAGGCGCAGAGGUGAGGAUCCCACGAGCGAAGCAGCAGGAGAGCAGCCCGGUCAGGGUCAGGGUGAGGCGCGGGCCUUGGGGCACAUAAGCGACAUCUGAAAGGUGGUGGCCAACUGUUUGAAAAAGGACACUCACCAAAGAGAGCAACCUGUCCAAUUGCCUCAGAUCCUUUUGGUAUUACAAUGGUUCAGGUGUGCUGUUAACAAUCUCUACACUUUUUCCAAGAGCAGCAGAAAAUGCAUGGAUCCUGGGUGAGUUUUCCCAGUUUGCGUUGUGAUGCAUUUCAGGAGGUUCAGAGGGGCCCAUACAUAAAAAUGGGAACCUAGAAAUAGAUAAAUGGCCUUAUAUAAAAUGUAG